UAGUUACCAUUUUAUAUUAGUUAUAAAUCUGUAAACGUGGUGUAAUACCUUUCAAUUUUAUUACUGUCUAGACUCUUAAGUAUAAGUUUUUUGGUUCAUUUAUGCUACCGGUACUUGCUACAACUUAAAUGGGCCAGAAAUAUUACCAAGGGAUGCUAUACUAGGUGGAGGACUGAAAAGACUGUUUACAUAGUGGAAAAUAGUUAGAGCUUAUUAAAGGGACAGCCAAGAAGAAUCAAGUGCAGUUGAUUCAGUGGAACUAUAUAUCUUUACGAUGCUUUAAUACAUGCUUUUUGUCCUUGUCUAAUCCCUGUUGAGAAAACUAAGUUUAAAGAUAAAGCAGGCCUAACAGCGAAAGAGGGGGACGUUAUAAUUUCGUGAAAAUGUGAGAAGAAAGUGGAGUAACUUAAAUUCGAUAAUCACUUAGUGCACUGUCAAAUAAAAGCUGAACAUCAUACUCUCGUCAAACAUCUGAUUGAAGUUUACGAAAAAAAUUUAAAAAAUGUUU